AGACUAUGAUAAGGACAAUGCCUAAGAAAAUCAUUGUAUCUUUUCCAAGCCUCAUAUAAUGAUUUAGAAUUUAGUUGCAUGAAUGAUGUGAUAUCAUUCCUCAUUUU
rnacentral:snoRNA from 1 species